rnacentral:rRNA from 1 species
CGUAAAGAACUUGCCUCACAGCUAGGGACAACAUUUAGAAAUGAAUGCUAAUACCUAAUAUUAUGAUAAUAGGGCAUCCUAUAAUUAUGAAGGCUAUAUGCGCUGUGAGAGAGCUUUGCGUCCCAUUAGCUAGUUGGAGAGGUAACGGCUCACCAAGGCGAUGAUGGGUAGCCGGCCUGAGAGGGUGAUCGGCCACAAGGGGACUGAGACACGGCCCUU